CAGUGGUGCCACUAUAGCAAUAAAAUCAUAUGAAUGAACUCUACAGCAGCAGGAAUGUCGGCUAGUUGUAGAUAGUUAGUUGCUUAAGUUUAUUUUUAAAGCAAACCUACAAACUAUGCUUUAGACUUUUAGCUAAAUAAAAAAUAAAGUUAACUAGCUAGCUACUAGAUUUAGUGUUUCAACAAGCUAGCUAGUGAGCUAGAGUAUUUCAAUUGCAAGAUGUUUGUUACCAAGCCACCUACUCAAGCCAGCAGCUUCAGAGAGUCAUCUCGCUGGCAGCUCCUGAGGCAGCGAAGGAUCCGUGUAAAUUUACCGUGAAGGCUCUUAGAAGUGCUAUUCAAGAGGGAGAUUUCCUUUAAAGCUCUCAUUUAAAACCUUCAGAAGACAAAAAAGAAAAAAAACCCCUUCGUUCUUUUUCCUCACGAGGCCCCUGAUUUCACCAUUUUUGCUCACGAUCUUCAAAUGCCUGCCGACACCUUUUCCGUGAUUUAAGUUCGCUUUCGCUUAUUUUUUAACUACUGUCAGGAUUGGACCAUGCCACUGUCUGUCAAACUCCCACCCGCCCUGUCAGGCACAUCGCUUCCAAUGCUGCAAUUCUAUCUGACCUCCUGUCUCCAGUUCUCAGCAGGGAGUUUGGAUCAAAGCGCAGUCGGCCUUUGCUUCGCUCUCCCCCGGCCCCCGAGUACCCAACUACCCCACGCCGUCCUGAAGCCUCGGCUCGCUCUUUCGAUUCCGCACGCACACACACAAACAGUGAACCAGUUUGAAGCGUGGAAUUGCAGUAGGAAGAUAAUUGGCCCCUCAGAUUGAAAUUCAGCAAAAGAACAAUGACAUUUACACCGUAGAUAUCAUAAGCACCCUGUGUGUGAAUUCAAAGCAUCGCUCACUGAAGUAUCUAAUCCUGGCCUGCUAGCUAUUACAGAUAGAGACUUCACCAGAGUCUGAUUAUGCAUUUCAGCAAAGGAAAGACUUCGGAUGAAACAGAGGAGCGUGUCCCAUUUCCAAGUUCCGAUUGUUCUAACGAGCUCGGAGCGUUCGCAUCUGGAUCCGCGUACACGAGGCCCUGCUCUGAGCAGCUUCUGCACAGGGAAGUGUUUCAUUUCAGCCCCCAAACCGUUGAGAACUCAAACCCUUCCAAUCCUGGAAACCUGCAAAAGAAGAAAAAAAACCUUCAUAUUUUUGUGUGCUAAUCUCCUCGAGGAGAAAUACGAGACGACAAUGGGUAAAGCACCUCCAAUAAUUGGGUCCAACAGGCUUAUGGUAUUAACCUAAAAUGAGUUCUUUUUUCCCUUUUAAGUGCAAUCCAUUAUUUCAAUCCCCCCUCUGUAAAAAAAAAAUCGGUCUUUGAGAAUAUUAAUAAAUCCCACAUCGGAAAAAUGGGACGCGGCUCACUGAAAGGCUGCGUACCUGAAGUCGCGAGCCCGAGGUCUCACCAAGGACGGUGGCAUGAAAGCACAAUGCUGCAUUAGCGCUCCAAGAAGACCUUGGCCUCCUUCAUCAUGCUCCCUUGAAACAAAACAAAUAGAAUCUAGGCUUUUUGAUCGGGACGGAGCAGGGCCGGGGUUCGCCACUUCAGAGCCACUCACUGAAGUGCGCAGACAUCUGACGAGCGUGUCGUACGCGUCUUACGAGGCCCUGCCAUACUAUAAGUUUCACUCUGAACGUCGGAAAACUUUCAGCCGGCUCCUCCUCAUUAAGGAGAAAGGGACUGUACACGAGUGUGUGUGUGUGUGUGUGUGGGGUGUGUGUGAUUUUUUUUCAGUAGAUUUUUUUUUUUCAACAUGCUAUUACAUAGCUAUUACACAAGUCCACUACGAAAUACAGACCUUAUUGCAUCAGUGAGCAGAUAUAAUUUGACUCGUUUUCUUGAUAUAUUUUUUAAAAGAAAAAUUACUCAGUAGGGUUCAAUCUACAUUUAAAAAAGUAUUAUAAAAAUAUAUAUAAACUAAUAAAAAAAAAAAUAACAAGGUCAUAAUAGUGCAUAAUUGAUUCUGAUGAACAGAAUGGUAGUCUGGGAAAACCCAUCAUAGCUUAACAAAGAGAAAUUUAGUGACAUGCAUAAAAUAAAAAUUUAAUA